rnacentral:lncRNA from 10 species
ACACAGUCAAAGGCUUGUGAGAAUCUGGUGGAUGCUGGACCUUGCUGCUGCUGCUACUGCUGUUUCCAGGGGCUGCAGAGCAUGGACUGUUAAAUCUUGCACUUCUUCUGAGUGAGCCACACUGGCCACUGCAGUCCAAAAGAGAAUUCUAAAAGGAAACAGUACAAAACAGAACAUCAAAACAAAACAGACAAACAACCUGGGAACCAUUAGGUUUUACACCAGAGUGAAACCCCAGAAGAGACAUUCUGCAGCUGGUGAACAGCCGGCCUCAUUUGUGAGCAAUCUGUUCCCAUCAGUGUCAGGGAUUCCAGAAGAAAAAGAACUCUGAAAUGAAAUUGAGGAUUUGAACUUCACACAGCUGUUUGAAGU